UACGUAGGGUGCGAGCGUUAAUCGGAAUUACUGGGCGUAAAGUGUGCGCAGGCGGCCGAGCAAGUCGAGUGUGAAAGCCCCGAGCUUAACUUGGGAACUGCGCUCGAAACUACUUGGCUAGAGUGUGGCAGAGGGAGGUGGAAUUCCACGUGUAGCGGUGAAAUGCGUAGAGAUGUGGAGGAACACCGAUGGCGAAGGCAGCCUCCUGGGCCAACACUGACGCUCAUGCACGAAAGCGUGGGGAGCAAACAGGG
rnacentral:rRNA from 1 species